rnacentral:rRNA from 1 species
AUGCACGCUGGCGGCGUGCCUAACACAUGCAAGUCGAGCGGCAGCGAGGGGUGCUUGCACCCUGUCGGCGAGCGGCGGGCGGCUGAGUAACGCGUGGGAACGUGCCCCAAAGUGAGGAAUAACUGCCCGAAAGGGUAGCUAAUACCGCAUAUUAUCUUCGGAUCAAAGGAUUUAUCCGCUUUGGGAGCGGCUCGCGUCGGAUUAGGUAGUUGGUGAGGUAAUGGCUCACCAAGCCGACGAUCCGUAGCUGGUCUGAGAGGAUGACCAGCCAGACUGGAACUGAGACACGGUCCAGACUCCUACGGGAGGCAGCAGUGAGGAAUCUUCCACAAUGGGCGAAAGCCUGAUGGAGCAACGCCGCGUGCAGGACGAAGGCCUUCGGGUUGUAAACUGCUUUUAUAAGUGAGGAAUAUGACGGUAACUUAUGAAUAAGGAUCGGCUAACUACGUG